rnacentral:tRNA from 1 species
GGGGAUUUAGCUCAGUGGUUCCGGCGCGUGCCUUGCAAGUGCAAGGUCCCAAGUUCGAUCCCUGGUACCCCCA